rnacentral:rRNA from 1 species
UCGGGAAUAUUGCUCAAUGGGGGCAACCCUGAAGCAGCAACGCCGCGUGAGUGAUGAAGGCCUUCGGGUCGUAAAGCUCUGUUGUACGGGAAGAAAAAAGCGGAACUAAUAUUUCCGCUCUUGACGGUACUGUAUAAGAAAGGACCGGCUAACUUCGUGCCAGCAGCCGCGGUAAGACGGGGGGUCCUAGCGUUGUUCGGAAUCAUUGGGCGUAAAGCGUGUGCAGGCGGUCUGGAAAGUUGGAUGUGAAAGCCCCGGGCUUAACCCGGGAAGUGCAUUCAAAACUCCCAGACUUGAGUAAGGAAGAGGGUCGUGGAAUUCCAGGUGUAGUGGUGAAAUACGUAGAUAUCUGGAGGAACACCGGCGGCGAAGGCGGCGACCUGGUCCUAUACUGACGCUCAUACACGAAAGCGUGGGGAUCAAACAG